UACAGAGGGUGCGAGCGUUAAUCGGAAUUACUGGGCGUAAAGCGUGCGUAGACGGCUAUCUAAGUCGGGUGUGAAAGCCCCGGGCUCAACCUGGGAAUUGCAUUCGAGACUGAAUAGCUAGGGUACGGUAGAGGGAAGCGGAAUUUCCGGUGUAGCGGUGAAAUGCGUAGAUAUCGGAAGGAACACCAGUGGCGAAAGCGGCUUCCUGGUCCAGCACCGACGUUCAGGCACGAAAGCGUGGGGAGCAAACAGG
rnacentral:rRNA from 1 species